rnacentral:rRNA from 1 species
AUUUCCCAAGGGCUUUAAUCCUUGUCUGAGGAGCUUGGAUGCACUUUACUGUUGUGUCCUUGCGAGUCAGAACAUUUUACCUUGAAAAAAUUAGAGUGUUCAAAGCAGGCUAUACAGCUUGAAUAGAUUAGCAUGGGAUAAUAGAAUAGGACUUUUGGUUCUAUUUUGUUGGUUUUUGAGAACCAGAGUAAUGAUGAAUAGGAACAGUUGGGGGCAUUCAUAUUCAAUUGCUAGAGGUGAAAUUCUUAGAUUGAUUGACGAUGAACUACUGCGAAAGCAUUUGCCAAGGAUGUUUCCAUUAAUCAAGAACGAAAGUUAGGGGAUCGAAGACAAUCAGAUACUGUCGUAGUCUUAACCAUAAACUAUGCCGACUAGAGAUCAGACAGGCUUAUUUUUAAUGACCUGUUUGGCAUCUUAUGAGAAAUCAAAGUGUUUGGGUUCCGGGGGGAGUAUGGUCGCAAGGCUGAAACUUAAAGGAAUUGACGGAAGGGCACCACCAGGAGUGGAGCCUGCGGCUUAAUUUGACUCAACACGGGGAAACUCACCAGGUCCAGACAUAGUGAGGAUUGACAGAUUGAGAGCUCUUUCUUGAUUCUAUGGGUGGUGGUGCAUGGCCGUUCUUAGUUGGUGGAGUGAUUUGUCUGGUUAAUUCCGAUAACGAACGAGACCUUAACCUGCUAAAUAGUGGCUGCCAUGUUUGGUUCCAGUCAAGGGGCGUUUUCUGGCUUGGAGG